AGGGUUUGAUCCUGGCUCAGGACGAACGCUGGCGGCGUGCUUGAUACAUGCAAGUCUAGGAGAACGUUUUCUUCGGAAAACUAUUAAACUGGCGAACGGGUGAGUAACACGUAGGCAACCUACCGUUAAGAUUGGGAUAACUCCGGGAAACCGGAGCUAAUACCGAAUAUGGCAUUUAAUUCGCAUGAAUUUUAUGUUAAAGUGGGCUUCGGCUCACACUUUACGAUGGGCCUGCGUCCGAUUAGCUUGUUGGUGAGGUAACGGCUUACCAAGGCGAUGAUCGGUAGCUGGUCUGAGAGGAUGAUCAGCCACACUGGGAUUGAGAUACGGCCCAGACUCCUACGGGAGGCAGCAGUAAGGAAUUUUGCACAAUGGACGAAAGUCUGAUGCAGCAACGCCGCGUGAUCGAUGAAGCUUCUAGGAGUGUAAAGAUCUGUCGUGAGGGAAGAAAAAUUUAGAUGUAAAUAAUGUUUAAACUUGACGGUACCUCACAAGAAAGCACCGGCUAACUUCGUGCCAGCAGCCGCGGUAAUACGAGGGGUGCUAGCGUUGUCCGGAAUAACUGGGCGUAAAGGGUCCGUAGGCGUUUUGCUAAGUUGAUCGUUAAAUCCAUCGGCUUAACCGAUGACAUGCGAUCAAAACUGGCAGAAUAGAAUAUGUGAGGGGAAUGUGGAAUUCCUGGUGUAGCGGUGACAUGCGUAGAUA
rnacentral:rRNA from 1 species